rnacentral:rRNA from 1 species
UUGACGGGGGCCCGCACAAGCGGUGGAGCAUGUGGUUUAAUUCGAUGAUACGCGAGGAACCUUACCUGGGCUCAAAUGUAUGUUGACGUAUUCUGAAAGGGAUACUUCUUCGGACAAUAUACAAGGUGCUGCAUGGUUGUCGUCAGCUCGUGCCGUGAGGUGUCGGGUUAAGUCCCAUAACGAGCGCAACCCCUAUCAUUAGUUGCCAGCGGGUCAUGCCGGGGACUCUAGCGGAACUGCCAGCGUAAGCUGCGAGGAAGGGUGGGGAUGACGUCAAAUCAGCACCGGCCCUUACGUCCAGGGCUACACACGUGUUACAAUGGCCGGUACAGAGGCAGCCACCCGCGAGGGGGCGCGAAUCCCGAAAGCCGGUCCCAGUUCGGAUCGGAGUCUGCAACCCGACUCCGUGAAGCUGGAUUCGCUAGUAAUCGCGCAUCAGCCACGGCGCGGUGAAUACGUUCCCGGGCCUU